rnacentral:rRNA from 1 species
UACGGAGGGUGCAAGCGUUAAUCGGAAUUACUGGGCGUAAAGCGUGCGCAGGCGGUUUGUUAAGUCUGCUGUGAAAUCCCCGAGCUCAACUUGGGAAUUGCAGUGGAUACUGGCAGGCUGGAGUAUGGUAGAGGAAGGUGGAAUUCCCGGUGUAGCAGUGAAAUGCGUAGAUAUCGGGAGGAACACCUGUGGCGAAAGCGGCUCACUGGACCAUAACUGACGCUGAUGCACGAAAGCUGGGGGAGCAAACAGG